rnacentral:lncRNA from 1 species
GUGUCUGUGUUUUCCUGGUGCUGGCAGAGAUGAGGUAGAUAUAAGAACACAUGGGCUCUCACCUGGGCUUCAGAAGCCUUGACAGGCUGCAGGGUUGGAGGCCCAGAGCAGGCCUGUCAUUUCUCAACCAGAGUCCCUUCCUUGCCAUUUUAGAUGUCCUCCAUUACAGAAGAUAAACACCAAAGAUCCUCACCAGAGCUUUCCAAACACCACAGGCACCCAGCUGUGUGAGCAAGAUGCAGCAAAGCCAUGGAAAGGCCCCCAGGAACUCUGUUCUGAUGCUUACUAUACAAACUGCUCAGCAAAUUUUUGGGAUGGAAGUUGCCUGAAAUCAAGUUCCCUCUCCUUCUUCUUGAAUGUUCUUGGAAUACAGCAGUUUGGCCAAUGCCUGUGA